GACGAACGCUGGCGGCGUGCUUAACACAUGCAAGUCGAACGGUGACGAGGAGCUUGCUCCUCCGAUCAGUGGCGAACGGGUGAGUAACACGUGAGUAACCUGCCCCAGACUCUGGGAUAACAGUUGGAAACAGCUGCUAAUACCGGAUACGAGACGGAGAGGCAUCUCUACCGUCUGGAAAGUUUUUCGGUCUGGGAUGGACUCGCGGCCUAUCAGCUUGUUGGUGAGGUAAUGGCUCACCAAGGCGACGACGGGUAGCCGGCCUGAGAGGGCGACCGGCCACACUGGGACUGAGACACGGCCCAGACUCCUACGGGAGGCAGCAGUGGGGAAUAUUGCACAAUGGGCGAAAGCCUGAUGCAGCGACGCCGCGUGAGGGAUGACGGCCUCGGUUGUAACCGUACUUUCUAGCAGGAAGGAAGACGAAAGUAGACGGUACCUCGCAGAAGAAGACACCGG
rnacentral:rRNA from 1 species